rnacentral:rRNA from 1 species
AUUGAACGCUGGCGGCGUGCUUAACACAUGCAAGUCGUGCGGUAACAGGCGUAGCAAUACGUGCUGACGAGCGGCGAACGGGUGCGUAAUACAUGGGAAUCUGGCCUUUUAGUGGGGAAUAACCCGGCGAAAGCCGGGCUAAUGCCGCAUAAGAUCUUCGGAUGAAAGCGGGGGAUCGUAAGACCUCGCGCUGAUAGAUGAGCCCAUGCCGGAUUAGCAGUUGGUGAGGUAACGGCUCACCAAGGCGACGAUCCGUAGCUGGUCUGAGAGGACGGCCAGCCACACUGGGACUGAGACACGGCCCAGACUCCUACGGGAGGCAGCAGUGGGGAAUAUUGGACAAUGGGCGCAAGCCUGAUCCAGCGAUGCCG